rnacentral:lncRNA from 13 species
ACAGGCAUGUGCCACCACACCAGCUAGUUUUUUGUUUUUUUUUUUUUGCAGAGACAGGGUUUCACCAUGUUGACCAGGCUGGUCUAAAAUUUCUGACCUCAAGUGAUCUGCCCACUUUGACCUCCCAAACUGGGAUUACAGGCAUGAACCACUGCACCCAGCCCCUUCAGUUCUGAAGGCCAGAAUUCUAAAGUCAGUCCCACUGACUCAAGGUGGGAGCAGGGCAGGCACCUUCCCAGGCUCUGUAGGAGAAUGAGUUUCCUGGCCCCAGAGGCUUCCUGCAGUCCUCAGCUUGUGCUGCCCUUCUUGAAUGACUCGAGGUUCCUGCUUCCAACACUACACUUCCCGUUGCUCUCCAUCACCUGCUCUGUUCUGAUAAGGAUCUGGAGAAAUACAGUGAUGGUAUCACCGAUCUACAUAAACACAUUGAAGAACUAUCCAAAAGAAAAUAUGGGAUGUUGAAGAACUGUCUGAAAGAAAAUAUGGUAUGUCUAAACUGGAAAAAUCCUGUCAUGCUUUGUUCAUGAGAGUUUACACAAUGGAGUCAGUGUUCAUCUUGUAGUGUCUGUCCAAGUAUUAGGAACAUUCUAUCUUUCUAGGUUACUGCAAAGCUAAGGAAAAGUUGUAUCUCUUAAAUUAUCAGUCAGCAUUUCUUUUAAACUUUCAGCAUGGAUAUUGGGGAUUCAUUUACAUAUUUAUUGCAA